rnacentral:rRNA from 1 species
GAGUUUGAUCAUGGCUCAGAUUGAACGCUGGCGGCAUGCCUUACACAUGCAAGUCGAACGGCAGCACGGGAGCUUGCUCCUGGUGGCGAGUGGCGAACGGGUGAGUAAUGCAUCGGAACGUAUCCUGGAGUGGGGGAUAACGUAGCGAAAGUUACGCUAAUACCGCAUAUUCUGUGAGCAGGAAAGCGGGGGACCUUCGGGCCUCGCGCUCUUGGAGCGGCCGAUGUCGGAUUAGCUAGUUGGUGAGGUAAAGGCUCACCAGGGCGACGAUCCGUAGCAGGUCUGAGAGGAUGAUCUGCCACACUGGAACUGAGACACGGUCCAGACUCCUACGGGAGGCAGCAGUGGGGAAUUUUGGACAAUGGGGGCAACCCUGAUCCAGCCAUGCCGCGUGAGUGAAGAAGGCC